rnacentral:rRNA from 1 species
AACGAACGCUGGCGGCAGGCCUAACACAUGCAAGUCGAACGCUCCGCAAGGGGGAGUGGCGCACGGGUGAGUAACACGUGGGAACCUACCUUCUGGUACGGAACAACCAAGGGAAACUUUGGCUAAGACCGUAUACGACCUCCGGGUGAAAGAUUGAUCGCCGGAAGAGGGGCCCGCGUCCGAUUAGGUAGUUGGUGAGGUAACGGCUCACCAAGCCUUCGAUCGGUAGCUGGUCUGAGAGGAUGACCAGCCACACUGGGACUGAGACACGGCCCAGACUCCUACGGGAGGCAGCAGUGGGGAAUAUUGGACAAUGGGCGCAAGGCCUGAUCCAGCCAUGCCGCGUGAGUGAUGAAGGCC